GGAUGGGUGUCCGAGUGGUCGAAGGUGCUUGACUCGAAAUCAAGUGUACCGCAAGGUACCGAGGGUUCGAAUCCCUCUCCAUCCGCCA
rnacentral:tRNA from 3 species